GACGAACGCUUGCGGCGUGCUUAACACAUGCAAGUCGAACGGAAAGGCCCUGCUUUUGUGGGGUGCUCGAGUGGCGAACGGGUGAGUAACACGUGAGUAACCUGCCCUUGACUUUGGGAUAACUUCAGGAAACUGGGGCUAAUACCGGAUAGGAGCUCCUGCUGCAUGGUGGGGGUUGGAAAGUUUCGGCGGUUGGGGAUGGACUCGCGGCUUAUCAGCUUGUUGGUGGGGUAGUGGCUUACCAAGGCUUUGACGGGUAGCCGGCCUGAGAGGGUGACCGGCCACAUUGGGACUGAGAUACGGCCCAGACUCCUACGGGAGGCAGCAGUGGGGAAUAUUGCACAAUGGGCGGAAGCCUGAUGCAGCAACGCCGCGUGCGGGAUGACGGCCUUCGGGUUGUAAACCGCUUUCGCCUGUGACGAAGCGUGAGUGACGGUAAUGGGUAAAGAAGCACCGGCUAACUACGUGCCAGCAGCCGCGGUGAUACGUAGGGUGCGAGCGUUGUCCGGAUUUAUUGGGCGUAAAGGGCUCGUAGGUGGUUGAUCGCGUCGGAAGUGUAAUCUUGGGGCUUAACCCUGAGCGUGCUUUCGAUACGGGUUGACUUGAGGAAGGUAGGGGAGAAUGGAAUUCCUGGUGGAGCGGUGGAAUGCGCAGAUAUCAGGAGGAACACCAGUGGCGAAGGCGGUUCUCUGGGCCUUUCCUGACGCUGAGGAGCGAAAGCGUGGGGAGCGAACAGGCUUAGAUACCCUGGUAGUCCACGCUGUAAACGGUGGGUACUAGGUGUGGGGUCCAUUCCACGGGUUCCGUGCCGUAGCUAACGCUUUAAGUACCCCGCCUGGGGAGUACGGCCGCAAGGCUAAAACUCAAAGGAAUUGACGGGGCCCCGCACAAGCGGCGGAGCAUGCGGAUUAAUUCGAUGCAACGCGUAGAACCUUACCUGGGUUUGACAUGGAUCGGGAGUGCUCAGAGAUGGGUGUGCCUCUUUUGGGGUCGGUUCACAGGUGGUGCAUGCCUGUCGUCAGCUCGUGUCGUGAGAUGUUGGGUUAAGUCCCGCAACGAGCGCAACCCUUGUUCACUGUUGCCAGCACGUUAUGGUGGGGACUCAGUGGAGACCGCCGGGGUCAACUCGGAGGAAGGUGGGGAUGACGUCAAGUCAUCAUGCCCCUUAUGUCCAGGGCUUCACGCAUGCUACAAUGGCUGGUACAGAGAGUGGCGAGCCUGUGAGGGUGAGCGAAUCCCGGAAAGCCGGUCUCAGUUCGGAUUGGGGUCUGCAACUCGACCUCAUGAAGUCGGAGUCGCUAGUAAUCGCAGAUCAGCAACGCUGCGGUGAAUACGUUCCCGGG
rnacentral:rRNA from 1 species